rnacentral:rRNA from 1 species
GACGAACGCUGGCGGCGUGCUUAAUACAUGCAAGUCAACGACUUUUAGAGUAGCAAUAUUUUAAAAGGAGUGGCGCACGGUGAGUAGCACGUAGGUAAUCUGCCUUCAGGACUGACACAACUCGUCGAAAGACGGGCUAAUAUCAGAUAAUGCAGCGGCUCCGCAUGGAGACAGUUGUUAAAGUACAAGCGCCUGAAGAUGAGCCUGCGGUCCAUUAGCUAGUUGGUAGAGUAACAGCCUACCAAGGCAACGAUGGAUAGCUGGUCUGAGAGGAUGAUCAGCCACACUGGAACUGAGACACGGUCCAGACUCCUACGGGAGGCAGCAGUAAGGAAUAUUGCUCAAUAGGCCGAAAGGACGUGAAGGACAGCAACGCCGCGUGAAGGA